GUAAAGAUAAAGAUUUUCAGUUUAAUUAUCUUCAAAAUUCUGUGUGUGGGGAAGUGCCUGGCGGUGGUGGUUGGGCACUUGAGCUUGGAGCUGGCCAGGGCAGUGGAUGGGGAAGAGGAGAUUGCUGCUACUGCUGUCGUUUUGUGUAUGCUACAGCUGCAAAAUUCUGUGUAAGUCAAUCCUAGGCGAGUUCUGUAUUGUUAGCCUUUGUGGUGACUGCUACACGAUCCUGAAAGAAACAAGGAGAAU